AUCCAACUGACGAGUGUCAAAUAGGAGGAAACGCGCGUCAAACUGCAU
rnacentral:hammerhead_ribozyme from 1 species